GGGGAAUUUUCCGCAAUGGGCGCAAGCCUGACGGAGCAACGCCGCGUGAGGGGGGAAGGUCUGUGGAUUGUAAACCUCUUUUGUUAGGGAAGAAGCUCUGACGGUACCUAACGAAUAAGCAUCGGCUAACUCCGUGCCAGCAGCCGCGGUAAGACGGAGGAUGCAAGCGUUAUCCGGAAUUAUUGGGCGUAAAGCGUCCGCAGGCGGCCAAUUAAGUCUGCUGUCAAAGACUGCAGCUCAACUGUGGAUAGGCAGUGGAAACUGAUUGGCUAGAGUACGGUAGGGGUAGAGGGAAUUCCCAGUGUAGCGGUGAAAUGCGUAGAUAUUGGGAAGAACACCAGUGGCGAAGGCGCUCUGCUGGGCCGUAACUGACGCUGAGGGACGAAAGCUAGGGGAGCGAAUGGGAUUAGAUACCCCAGUAGUC
rnacentral:rRNA from 1 species